rnacentral:rRNA from 1 species
GUAAGGAAUAUUGGUCAAUGGACGCAAGUCUGAACCAGCCAUGCCGCGUGAAGGAUUAAGGCCCUCUGGGUUGUAAACUUCUUUUAUAUGGGACGAAAUGUGCCGAUUCUUCGGCACUUGACGGUACCAUAGGAAUAAGCACCGGCUAACUCCGUGCCAGCAGCCGCGGUAAUACGGAGGGUGCAAGCGUUAUCCGGAUUCACUGGGUUUAAAGGGUGCGUAGGCGGGCAGGUAAGUCAGUGGUGAAAUCUUCCGGCUUAACCGGAAAACUGCCGUUGAUACUAUUUGUCUUGAAUAUUGCGGAGGUAAGCGGAAUAUGUCAUGUAGCGGUGAAAUGCAUAGAUAUGACAUGGAACACCAAUUGCGAAGGCAGCUUACUACACAAUGAUUGACGCUGAUGCACGAAAGCGUGGGGAGCGAACA